CUGCAUUCCAUGACCGACAAGCUACUGAAUGCCACUAUAAAAACUGGGGAGUUACCACUUCUCUCCAGUCAAGAAUGACCUCCAUACAAGAAGAUGGAGGAAUGAUGAUGUUUUGGUCCAUCCUGGACCAUUAUCAAGUCUGGUGUCAGGAAGGAAGAAACGGGCCAAUAAAUAAGGAAAGAGUGAGGUGAGGAGAAGGUAAUUUCUAGAAGAAGGUUUGUAAUGGGUGAAUCCUUACUUUAAUACCCUUUGUAUCCUCUUCAUCAAACGAACCAAUGUCAAAUGCAUCGGCUGCAUUAACUUCACCUCGAGGUGGGAUGAGAGGAGGUUGGUACUUCUGCAGGU